rnacentral:rRNA from 1 species
CGGGGUGAACCGUGGCGAGCGACUCUCUGGUCUGUAACUGACGCUGAGGCGCGAAAGCGUGGGGAGCGAACAGGAAUAAAUACCCUGGUAGUCCACGCCGUAAACGAUGAGUGCUAAGUGUUAGAGGGUUUCCGCCCUUUAGUGCUGCAGCAAACGCAUUAAGCACUCCGCCUGGGGAGUACGGUCGCAAGACUGAAACUCAAAGGAAUUGACGGGGGCCCGCACAAGCGGUGGAGCAUGUGGUUUAAUUCGAAGCAACGCGAAGAACCUUACCAGGUCUUGACAUCCUCUGACAACCCUAGAGAUAGGGCUUCCCCUUCGGGGGCAGAGUGACAGGUGGUGCAUGGUUGUCGUCAGCUCGUGUCGUGAGAUGUUGGGUUAAGUCCCGCAACGAGCGCAACCCUUGAUCUUAGUUGCCAGCAUUCAGUUGGGCACUCUAAGGUGACUGCCGGUGACAAACCGGAGGAAGGUGGGGAUGACGUCAAAUCAUCAUGCCCCUUAUGACCUGGGCUACACACGUGCUACAAUGGGCAGAACAAAGGGCAGCGAAGCCGCGAGGCUAAGCCAAUCCCACAAAUCUGUUCUCAGUUCGGAUCGCAGUCUGCAACUCGACUGCGUGAAGCUGGAAUCGCUAGUAAUCGCGGAUCAGCAUGCCGCGGUGAAUACGUUUCCCGGGCCUUGUACACACCGCCCGUUCACACCACGAGAGUUUGUAACACCCGAAGUCGGUGAGGUAACCUUUUUGGAGCCAGCCGCCGAAGGUGGGACAGAUUGAUUGGGGGUGAAGUCGUUAACAAGGUAACCAACU